rnacentral:rRNA from 1 species
AGUGAACGCUGGCGGCGUGCCUAACACAUGCAAGUCGAACGAGAAAUUUACCGCUUGCGGUAAAGAGUAAAGUGGCGAACGGGUGAGUAACACGUAGGUAACCUGCCCCUGAAACAGGGAUAACUUCGCGAAAGCGUUGCUAAUACCUGAUAUUGUUCCCAUAAAUAUGGUUAUUGGAAUGAAAGGUGACCUCUUCAUGAAAGUUACCGUUCAGGGAGGGGCUUGCGGACCAUUAGCUUGUUGGUGGGGUAAUGGCCUACCAAGGCAACGAUGGUUAGCUGGUCUGAGAGGAUGAUCAGCCACACUGGAACUGAAACACGGUCCAGACUCCUACGGGAGGCAGCAGUGAGGAAUUUUGCGCAAUGGGGGAAACCCUGACGCAGCAACGCCGCGUGAGUGAAGAAGGCUUUCGGGUCGUAAAGCUCUGU